rnacentral:rRNA from 1 species
GAUGAACGCUGGCGGCGUGCCUAAUACAUGCAAGUCGUGCGAACAGACGAGGAGCUUGCUCCUCGGACGUUAGCGGCGGACGGGUGAGUAACACGUGCAUAACCUACCUAUAAGACUGGGAUAACUUAGUGAAACCGGAGCUAAUACCGGAUAAUAUAUUCAACCGCAUGGUUCAAUAGUGAAAGACGGUUUUGCUGUCCCUGAUAGAUGGAUCCGCGCCGCAUUAGCUAGUUGGUAAGGUAACGGCUUACCAAGGCAACGAUGCGUAGCCGACCUGAGAGGGUGAUGGGCCACACUGGAACUGAGACACGGUCCAGACUCCUACGGGAGGCCGCAGUAGCGACUCGUCCGCGAUGGGCGGAAUCCUGAACGAGCAACGCCGCGUGAGUGAUGAAGGUCUGCGGAUCGUAUGACUCUGUUCUUAGGGAAGACCAAAUGUGUAAGUAACUAUGCACGUCGUGACGGUACCUACUCAGAAAGCAACGGCUAACUACGUG